UGGAUGUAAUUUUUGAUUGUUGGUGUCUUCAAUAACAUCUAAAUACGUGCUCUCCGCUCCAACGACUUCUAAAUACGUGUUGUCCGGUUGUGACGAUUAAACAGUCUUUGAGGCCCAUGUAAGAUGGGACAAAUUUUGACUGGUUAUAGGAUGAAACAUUUCUAUCAUCCCACUCUCGUUAAUUGUUUCAUAAUGUGGGAAUAUAUUGU
rnacentral:lncRNA from 1 species